AGAGUUUGAUCAUGGCUCAGGAUAAACGCUGGCGGCGUGCCUAAUACAUGCAAGUCGAGCGGUAAGGCUCCUGCAGAUUAUUUAAGAAGUGAAUUAAUCUUCACAAUCUCUCCCGGCUAGGAGAGACAAUCUUGAAUGAUGUGCUGGAGUACACGAGCGGCGGACGGGUGAGUAACGCGUUAGAAUGUACCCCAAACUGAGGGAUAAGCACCAGAAAUGGUGUCUAAUACCGCAUAUGCUCUUCGGAGUAAAGCUUCGGCGGUUUGGGAACAGCUUGCGUCUGAUUAGCUAGUUGGUAGGGUAAUGGCCUACCAAGGCGAUGAUCGGUAGCUGGUCUGAGAGGAUGAUCAGCCACACUGGGACUGAGACACGGCCCAGACUCCUACGGGAGGCAGCAGUAGGGAAUUUUCCACAAUGGGGGCAACCCUGAUGGAGCAACGCCGCGUGCAGGAUGAAGGCCUUCGGGUUGUAAACUGCUUUUGUCUGUGACGAAUAUGACGGUAGCAGACGAAUAAGGAUCGGCUAACUACGUGCCAGCAGCCGCGGUCAUACGUAGGAUCCGAGCGUUAUCCGGAUUUACUGGGCGUAAAGAGUUGCGUAGGUGGCAAAGUAAGUUAGUAGUGAAAGCGUGUGGCUCAACCAUACUCACAUUACUAAAACUGCUUAGCUUGAGGAUGAGAGAGGUCACUGGAAUUCCAAGUGUAGGAGUGAAAUCCGUAGAUAUUUGGAGGAACACCGAUGGCGUAGGCAGGUGACUGGCUCAUUCCUGACACUGAGGCACGAAAGCGUGGGUAGCAAACGGGAUUAGAUACCCCAGUAGUCC
rnacentral:rRNA from 1 species